CCCUUAGAUGUUCUGGGCUGCACGCGCGCUACACUGAUGCGUUCAACGAGUUUAUGACCUUGCCCGAUAGGGUUGGGUAAUCUUUUUAAAUCGCAUCGUGAUGGGGAUAGAUUAUUGCAAUUAUUAAUCUUCAACGAGGAAUUCCUAGUAAGCGCGAGUCAUCAGCUCGUGCUGAUUACGUCCCUGCCCUUUGUACACACCGCCCGUCGCCCCUACCGAUUGAAUGGUCCGGUGAAAUCUCGGGACGGCGGCUUGGUCGCUUGCGUCCGACUGCUGAAACUUGAUUAAACCAUAUCAUUUAGAGGAAGGUGAAGUCGUAACA
rnacentral:rRNA from 1 species